CUUUCAGAUACAAAGAAGAACAGAAGAAGAACAGUUAGAUGGAUGCAGAAACAUGGUAUCCUGAGGAGAACGAUGAAGUGCGCUAAAUGCAAUCGUUGCAUGCACCUGGUGACAUGUCACGUCAAGGAUGGGCUGUGGUGGGUCUGUAAGCAUCAUAAAAGUUCCCCACGGUCUGUACGCAAUGGCUCAAUAUUCAACAAGUCUCACAUUACUUUGAUAAAAUGGCUGGAGUUCAUGCACAGGUUUGCACAAGGUUUGCGGUUGAAGCAACUUGACAUGAUCACUGAGGGGAUAGCUGCAAGCUCCAGGACAUUAACAAGAAUGGCAAAAGUACUCAGAAAGGUUUGCAUCGCUGCCCUCAAGUGA
rnacentral:lncRNA from 1 species